GUCCUUUUAGCUCAGUUGGUUAGAGCGCGGCACUAGUAAUCAAUACGAUUCUACGCAAUGCCGAGGUCAGCCGUUCAAAUCGGCUAAGGGACA